rnacentral:lncRNA from 1 species
UCUUAGUUAUCUUCCUAUAUAGCUCCUGGAUUUUGAGACACUCUUCAUUCACCAAUCUGUCUCAGUAGAAAUUUAGAUGUAUUUAUUAUUAGGAGAUACCAAGAGGUACACAUACUCGUAUUCUCUAUGAGCCUAGAACUUGGUCCAUGAGAGUCUUUCUUGGGCGUUUUAUUAAGGCUAGACCUGAGCCAACUUCUUUCGGAGGGACUAGAGUCUCCCUAUCCACAAGAAAUGAUUAAUAACUUCCUAAGAAUUGUUUCCCACCCAACUCAAAACUAAAUUCUGAAUAAACUUGAGUGUGAUGAACUUUCUCACAACCUCAAGACCUGCUAAGUCAGUCAUGAUUGCACAUCCCUUGAAUCAGCUUUGCUCAUUGUCCAAAGAUAGAAGCACUCGCUGUAUCAUUCCUGACACUCAGUGUCCAAAUGUGUGAGACACUAUUUCCCACUGUCCUUUUUCCUAUCCAACUUUCCUGUACCAUCCACAUUCAAUGCUUUAUAAAUAUCCAUACAUCCUCAACAUUUUACUUCAUGCUCCUUUUAUUUCCUGGUCUUCAACUUUCUCUAAGAUGUUGGUUCUUUUUUUGUGUGUGUGUGUGUGAGAUGGAGUUUUGCUGUGUUGCCCAGGCUGGAGUGCAGUGGCGUGAUCUCAGCUCACUACCAACUCUGGCUCCCAGGUUCAAGUGAUUCUCCUGCUUCAGCCUCCAGAGUAGCUGGGAUUACAGGCAUGUGCCACCACUCCUGGCUAAGUUUUGUAUUUUUAGUAGAGACAGGGUUUCACCAUGUUGGCCAGGCUGGUCUCAAACUCCUGACCGCAAGUAAGAUACUGCUUCCUUGAAAUGACUAGCAAAUCCAGCAUGUAUUUCAGGUUGGAUUUCUUGUGGUUAUCACUUUCAUAAUUCUCUUGCUAGCUUUUAACAGCUUUGCCCUGCACUUAUUCCACCCCAUUUGUCUGGAAACAUUGCAAUCACAGAUGAAUCCAACUGUCUGUUUUCUCUACACCCUGACAUGAAGUGCCAGGCAGCAUUAGAGAAAUUUGAGCAUGUGAGAAACUUACGUAACUCUUUAGGAUGCUGUCGAUAUACAUUUAUGGUCACCAAUACACCUAGACUCUCCGUGCUAUAACUGCCAUCUUUUUGUUUCCCUUGUCAGCUCUCCUUUCUUUGGCUAUUUUUGAUAUGCCUCAUUUUGUAUCAUAUAAAACUGUGGCUCUUCUUCUCUUACUGCAUAUAACUUUACCUUCUACUUUAUAGAAAAAAUAGCCAACAGACAAAAUUUCCUCAACUUCUUGCUAACCAGAACCUUAAAAUUACCUGCGUAUAUAUCCAUCGCCACCUUUUGCU